AUUGAACGCUGGCGGCAGGCCUAACACAUGCAAGUCGAGCGAGCGGCGGACGGGUGAGUAAUGUCUGGGAAACUGCCUGAUGGCGGGGGAUAACUACUGGAAACGGUAGCUAAUACCGCAUACCAUCAGAUGUGCCCAGAUGGGAUUAGCUAGUAGGUGGGGUAACGGCUCACCUCGGCGACGAUCCCUAGCUGGUCUGAGGGGAUGACCAGCCAACUGGGAACGGAGACACGGGCCAGACUCCUACGGGAGGCAGCAGGGGGGAAGAUGGCAAAAUGGGCGCAAGCCGGAUGCAGCCAUGCCGCGUGUGUGAAGAAGGCCUUCGGGUUGUAAAGCACUUUCAGCGGGGAGGCGUUACCCGCAGAAGAAGCACCGGCUAACUCCGGGCCAGCAGCCGCGGUAAUA
rnacentral:rRNA from 1 species